AGAUAAUGAAGUAAAAAUUACAAUUAGUUUCGACCUAAAAUUAGGACCUUAAUCCCUUAUCUA
rnacentral:tRNA from 1 species